GAUGAACGCUGGCGGCGUGCCUAAUACAUGCAAGUCGAGCGAACAGACGAGGAGCUUGCUCCUCUGACGUUAGCGGCGGACGGGUGAGUAACACGUGGAUAACCUACCUAUAAGACUGGGAUAACUUCGGGAAACCGGAGCUAAUACCGGAUAAUAUAUUGAACCGCAUGGUUCAAUAGUGAAAGACGGUUUUGCUGUCACUUAUAGAUGGAUCCGCGCCGCAUUAGCUAGUUGGUAAGGUAACGGCUUACCAAGGCAACGAUGCGUACCCGACCUGAGAGGGUGAUCGGCCACACUGGAACUGAGACACGGUCCAGACUCCUACGGGAGGCAGCAGUAGGGAAUCUUGCGCAAUGGGCGAAAGCCUGACGGAGCAACGCCGCGUGAGUGAUGAAGGUCUUCGGGUCGUAAAACUCUGUUAUUAGGGAAGAACAAAUGUGUAAGUAACUAUGCACGUCUUGACGGUACCUAAUCAGAAAGCCACGGCUAACUACGUG
rnacentral:rRNA from 1 species